rnacentral:rRNA from 1 species
GGCGAACGCUGGCGGCGUGCUUAACACAUGCAAGUCGAACGGAAAGGCCCUGCUUUUGUGGGGUGCUCGAGUGGCGAACGGGUGAGUAACACGUGAGUAACCUGCCCUUGACUUUGGGAUAACUUCAGGAAACUGGGGCUAAUACCGGAUAGGAGCUCCUGCUGCAUGGUGGGGGUUGGAAAGUUUCGGCGGUUGGGGAUGGACUCGCGGCUUAUCAGCUUGUUGGUGGGGUAGUGGCUUACCAAGGCUUUGACGGGUAGCCGGCCUGAGAGGGUGACCGGCCAAAUUGGGACUGAGAUACGGCCCAGACUCCUACGGGAGGCAGCAGUGGGGAAUAUUGCACAAUGGGCGGAAGCCUGAUGCAGCAACGCCGCGUGCGGGAUGACGGCCUUCGGGUUGUAAACCGCUUUCGCCUGUGACGAAGCGUGAGUGACGGUAAUGGGUAAAGAAGCACCGGCUAACUACGUG